rnacentral:misc_RNA from 1 species
CGUCGAAGGUGGGGCUGAUGACUGGGGUGAAGUCGUAACAAGGUAUCCGUACCGGAAGGUGCGGAUGGAUCACCUCCUAACAGGGAGACAACACAAUGAUUUUGAUGCCUGAGUGCUUUUAUUCUUAGGCCGAAAUCCUGUCACCUUAGGUCGAUCGGUACCUCAGCUUUGAAGUCAAGGAUCAGCAGCAAUGUUGAUUGCUUGAUGGAGAUUUUCAGUUCCUAAACUUUGUCUAGGUCACACCCCAAAAGGGAUGAGACUCCUGGGCCAUUAGCUCAGGUGGUUAGAGCGCACCCCUGAUAAGGGUGAGGUCCCUGGUUCAAGUCCAGGAUGGCCCAUUCGGUGUUGGGGGUUUAGCUCAGUUGGUAGAGCGCCUGCUUUGCAAGCAGGAUGUCAGGAGUUCGAGUCUCCUAACCUCCACUGACCGAACUUGAUUCCCAUCUCCAAUUCUUUUGGAGUUGAGCUCGAUUGGAGUGUGAUUUAGAUGUGUCCGCUGGAUGACCCCAGCUUCCUGUCAUUCCAAGUUUUAGGUUGAUGCCUUGAAUUUGGUUGAUAAGAUGCUGGGCUCAGAUCAAAUGAUUAAGCAAUUGAUGAUUUGAUUUGAAGUUCUAGCAGAACCUUGACAACUGCAUAGGUGAGUCUGGAAAAAAAC